rnacentral:rRNA from 1 species
UGCCAGCCGCCGCGGUAAUACGGAGGGUGCAAGCGUUAAUCGGAAUUACUGGGCGUAAAGCGCGCGUAGGCGGUUUUUUAAGUCGGAUGUGAAAGCCCCGGGCUCAACCUGGGAACUGCAUCCGAUACUGGAUGACUAGAAUGCGGGAGAGGGAGGUAGAAUUCCAUGUGUAGCAGUGAAAUGCGUAGAUAUAUGGAGGAAUACCAGUGGCGAAGGCGGCCUCCUGGCUCGACAUUGACGCUGAGGUGCGAAAGCGUGGGGAGCAAACGGGAUUAGAUA